rnacentral:tRNA from 1 species
GCAGUAGUAGCUCAGCUUCAGAGCGUUGGUCUUGUAAACCAAAGGUCGGAGAUUAGAUUUCUCCCUACUGCUC